rnacentral:rRNA from 1 species
AUUGAACGCUGGCGGCAGGCCUAACACAUGCAAGUCGAACGGUAACAGGAAGCAGCUUGCUGCUUUGCUGACGAGUGGCGGACGGGUGAGUAAUGUCUGGGAAACUGCCCGAUGGAGGGGGAUAACUACUGGAAACGGUAGCUAAUACCGCAUAACGUCGCAAGACCAAAGAGGGGGACCUUAGGGCCUCUUGCCAUCGGAUGUGCCCAGAUGGGAUUAGCUAGUAGGUGGGGUAACGGCUCACCUAGGCGACGAUCCCUAGCUGGUCUGAGAGGAUGACCAGCCACACUGGAACUGAGACACGGUCAAGACUCCUACGGGAGGCAGCAGUGGGGAAUAUUGCACAAUGGGCGCAAGCCUGAUGCAGCCAUGCCGCGUGUAUGAAGAAGGCCUUCGGGUUGUAAAGUACUUUCAGCGGGGAGGAAGGGAGUAAAGUUAAUACCUUUGCUCAUUGACGUUACCCGCAGAAGAAGCACCGGCUAACUCCGUG